AAAAAGACAAAACCCUGGUUUCCGUGCCCAACAUUUGACCGUCCGUUUUAUUUAAAAAAAUUAUGAAAAAAAUUAAAAAGACAAGUCACGCAUAAAAUAUUAAUCAUGUUUUAUCAUCUAACAAUAAUGAAAAUACGAAUUAUAAAAAAAAUCCAUAUAAGACGGACUGUUAAAGUUGGACACGGAAACUCAGGGUUUGACUUUUU
rfam:Oryza barthii chromosome 12, whole genome shotgun sequence.